rnacentral:rRNA from 1 species
GGAGUUAGCCGGUGCUUCUUCUGUGAGUGAUGUCCUUCCUGCCGGCUAUUAACCCGCAGGCCUUCUUCCUCACUGAAAGUGCUUUACAACCCGAAGGCCUUCUUCACACACGCGGCAUGGCUGGAUCAGGGUUGCCCCCAUUGUCCAAUAUUCCCCACUGCUGCCUCCCGUAGGAGUCUGGGCCGUGUCUCAGUCCCAGUGUGGCUGAUCAUCCUCUCAGACCAGCUACGGAUCGUCGCCUUGGUGAGCCGUUACCUCACCAACCAGCUAAUCCGACAUAGGCUCAUCCGAUAGCGCGAGGCCCGAAGGUCCCCCGCUUUCCCCCGUAGGGCCGUAUGCGGUAUUAGCCUGGGUUUCCCCAGGUUAUCCCCCACUACCGGGCAGAUUCCUAUGCAUUACUCACCCGUCCGCCGCUCGCCACCAGGGAGCAAGCUCCCCGUGCUGCCGCUCGACUUGCAUGUGUUAGGCCUGCCGCCAGCGUUCAAUCUGAGCCAGNGACACAACUCGACACGUGCGGCGGUCGCGACGACGGCGACUAG